CAAAUACUCCCUCCGUUCCAAAUUACUCGUCGUAGAAAUGGAUGUAUCUAGAACUAAAAUACAUCUAGAUACAUUCAUUUCUGCGACGAGUAAUUCGGAACGGAGGGAGUAGUUC
rnacentral:pre_miRNA from 1 species